AUUGAACGCUGGCGGCAGGCCUAACACAUGCAAGUCGAACGGUAACAGGAAGAAGCUUGCUUCUUUGCUGACGAGUGGCGGACGGGUGAGUAAUGUCUGGGAAGCUGCCUGAUGGAGGGGGAUAACUACUGGAAACGGUAGCUAAUACCGCAUAACGUCGCAAGACCAAAGAGGGGGACCUUCUGGCCUCUUGCCCUCGGAUGUGCCCAGAUGGGAUUAGCUAGUAGGUGGGGUAACGGCUCACCUAGGCGACGAUCCCUAGCUGGUCUGAGAGGAUGACCAGCCACACUGGAACUGAGACACGGUCCAGACUCCUACGGGAGGCAGCAGUGGGGAAUAUUGCACAAUGGGCGCAAGCCUGAUGCAGCCAUGCCGCGUGUAUGAAGAAGGCCUUCGGGUUGUAAAGUACUUUCAGCGGGGAGGAAGGGAGUAAAGUUAAUACCUUUACUCAUUGACGUUACCCGAAGAAGAAGCACCGGCUAACUCCGUG
rnacentral:rRNA from 1 species